rnacentral:rRNA from 1 species
CCCUUAGACGUUCUGGGCCGCACGCGCGCUACACUGACGGAGCCAGCGAGUAUAAACCUUGGCCGAGAGGUCUGGGAAAUCUUGUGAAACUCCGUCGUGCUGGGGAUAGAGCAUUGUAAUUAUUGCUCUUCAACGAGGGAUUCCUAGUAAGCGCAAGUCAUCAGCUUGCGUUGAUUACGUCCCUGCCCUUUGUACACACCGCUCGUCGCUACUACCGAUUGAAUGGCUUAGUGAGGCUUCCGGAUUGGUUUAGAGAAGGGGGCAACUCCAUCUUGGAACCGAGAAGCUAGUCAAACUUGGUCAUCUAGAGGAAGUAAAAGUCGUAACA